rnacentral:tRNA from 1 species
GAUCGCGUAGCUCAGCUGGUAGAGCACUACCUUGACAUGGUAGGGGUCGUUGGUUCAAGUCCAAUCGUGAUCA